GCGAAGCUUUUCAGUAGUUUACUACAGAAAAUGACUGAGCGGCGAACGGGUGAGUAACGCGUGAGCAACCUACCUUAGUUACUGGGAUAGCCCGAGGAAACUCGGAUUAAUACCGGAUAUUCUUAUUUAAUCACAUGAUUUUUUAAGGAAAGGUCAGCCGAACUAAGAUGGGCUCGCGUUCUAUCAGCUAGUUGGUAGGGUAAUAGCCUACCAAGGCUACGACGGAUAGCUGGUCUGAGAGGACGAUCAGCCACACUGGGACUGAGACACGGCCCAGACUCCUACGGGAGGCUGCAGCAGGGAAUAUUGCGCAAUGAGCGAAAGCUUGACGCAGCGACACCGCGUGUGGGAUGACGGAUCUAGGUUUGUAAACCACUUUCAGGAGGGAAGAAAAUGACGGUACCUCCACAAGAAGCCCCGGCCAACUACGUGCCAGCAGCCGCGGUAAUACGUAGGGGGCGAGCGUUGUCCGGAUUUAUUGGGCGUAAAGAGCUCGUAGGCGGUUCAACAAGUCGGUCGUGAAAGUUCAGGGCUCAACCCUGAAAUGUCGAUCGAUACUGUUGUGACUAGGAUACGGUAGAGGUGAGUGGAAUUCCGAGUGUAGCGGUGAAAUGCGUAGAUAUUCGGAGGAACACCAAUUGCGAAGGCAGCUCACUGGGCCGCUAUCGUCGCUGAGGAGCGAAAGCUAGG
rnacentral:rRNA from 1 species